UACGUAGGGCGCAAGCGUUGUCCGGAAUUACUGGGCGUAAAGCGCGUGUAGGUGGCAAGGCAAGUCGGGUGUGAAAGCCCUGGGCUCAACCCAGGAAGUGCACUCGAUACUGCCUCGCUAGAGUCCCGGAGAGGUUGGUGGAACUCUCGGUGUAGAGGUGAAAUUCGUAGAUAUCGAGAAGAACACCGGUGGCGAAGGCGGCAUCCUGGACCGGCAUUGACGCUGAGGCGCGAAAGCCAGGGGAGCAAACGGG
rnacentral:rRNA from 1 species